CCCGAAGUAUCCUGAAUCUUUCGCAUUGUUAAUCAUACAAGUGCAUAUAAUAAACAUAAAAAUCAAUGAUAAUCAUGCCAUUAUAUAAUUCCGAAAAAUUAACGCACUGUAAUCUUAUAAAUCUAUCAGCACUUUAUCAAUAUUACAACUUUUAUUUCAUGUUAAAAUGCAAGCACUUUAAUUGAAACAAACAAAAUGACAUAAAUGUAUGAUAAAUUAAUAUGCUAAUAGAUUACAAUGUCCUUAUAUGGAAAAAAUGCACACUAUUAUUAUAAUAUUUUUUAAACAUUACAAUUCUAAUGAUGAAUUUUCCAUAACGGAUAUUCAGGUUCAUCGGGC
rnacentral:rRNA from 1 species